rnacentral:rRNA from 1 species
ACCCGCUGAACUUAAGCAUAUCAAUAAGCGGAGGAAAAGAAACCAACAGGGAUUACCUCAGUAACGGCGAGUGAAGCGGUAACAGCUCAAAUUUGAAAUCUGCCUACAGGCCGAGUUGUAAUUUGUAGAAGAUGCUUCGGGUGUGGCUCCGGUCUAAGUUCCUUGGAACAGGACGUCAUAGAGGGUGAGAAUCCCGUAUGUGACUGGAUGCCUAUGCUCAUGUGAAGCUCUUUCGACGAGUCGAGUUGUUUGGGAAUGCAGCUCAAAAUGGGUGGUAUAUUUCAUCUAAAGCUAAAUAUUGGCCAGAGACCGAUAGCGCACAAGUAGAGUGAUCGAAAGAUGAAAAGCACUUUGGAAAGAGAGUUAAACAGUACGUGGAAUUGUUGAAAGGGAAGCGCUUGCAACCAGACUUGCACGUUGUCGAUCAUCCGAUGUUUUCACCGGUGCACUCGAUUUCGUUCAGGCCAGCAUCGGUUUUGGUGGUUAGAUAAAGACCUUAGGAAUGUGGCUCUUUCGGGAGUGUUAUAGCCUGGGGUGUAAUGUAGCCUACUGGGACCGAGGACCGCGCUUCGGCUAGGAUGCUGGCGUAAUGGUUGUAAGCGACCCGUCUUGAAACACGG